UACGGAGGGUGCAAGCGUUAAUCGGAAUUACUGGGCGUAAAGGGCGCGCAGGCGGCCCUUGAAGUCAGGCGUGAAAGCCCCGGGCUCAACCUGGGAGGUGCGCUUGAUACUCGAGGGCUUGAGUGCGGGAGAGGAGAGUGGAAUUCCCAGUGUAGAGGUGAAAUUCGUAGAUAUUCGGAGGAACACCAGUGGCGAAGGCGGCUCACUGGCUCGGUACUGACGCUGAGGUGCGAAAGCGUGGGGAGCAAACAGG
rnacentral:rRNA from 1 species